rnacentral:rRNA from 1 species
UGGUCCCUAUCUUUCGCGGGCGCAGGAUAUUUGAGGGGAGCUGUCCCUAGUACGAGAGGACCGGGAUGGACGAACCAAUGGUGAUCCAGUUGUCGCGCCAGCGGCAUAGCUGGGUAGCUACGUUCGGUCGGGAUAACCGCUGAAAGCAUCUAAGCGGGAAGCCCCCCCCGAGAUAAGAUAUCCCUUCCGAUGGAGACAUCGGAACUGAAGGCCCCUUGAAGAAGACGAGGUAGAUAGGCCGGAUGUGUAAGUGCGGCAACGCAUUGAGCUAACCGGUACUAAUCGGCCGUGCGGCUUAGCCAC